rnacentral:rRNA from 1 species
GACGAACGCUGGCGGCGUGCUUAACACAUGCAAGUCGAACGGAAAGGCCCUGCUUUUGUGUGUUGCUCGAGUGGCGAACGGGUGAGUAACACGUGAGUAACCUGCCCUUGACUUUGGGAUAACUUCAGGAAACUGGGGCUAAUACCGGAUAGGAGCUCCUGCUGCAUGGUGGGGGUUGGAAAGUUUCGGCGGUUGGGGAUGGACUCGCGGCUUAUCAGCUUGUUGGUGGGGUAGUGGCUUACCAAGGCUUUGACGGGUAGCCGGCCUGAGAGGGUGACCGGCCACAUUGGGACUGAGAUACGGCCCAGACUCCUACGGGAGGCAGCAGUGGGGAAUAUUGCACAAUGGGCGGAAGCCUGAUGCAGCAACGCCGCGUGCGGGAUGACGGCCUUCGGGUUGUAAACCGAUUUCGCCUGUGACGAAGCGUGAGUGACGGUAAUGGGUAAAGAAGCACCGGCUAACUACGUG